rnacentral:rRNA from 1 species
CCUACGGGGGGCAGCAGUGGGGAAUAUUGCACAAUGGGCGCAAGCCUGAUGCAGCCAUGCCGCGUGUGUGAAGAAGGCCUUCGGGUUGUAAAGCACUUUCAGCGGGGAGGAAGGCGGUGAGGUUAAUAACCUCAUCGAUUGACGUUACCCGCAGAAGAAGCACCGGCUAACUCCGUGCCAGCAGCCGCGGUAAUACGGAGGGUGCAAGCGUUAAUCGGAAUUACUGGGCGUAAAGCGCACGCAGGCGGUCUGUCAAGUCGGAUGUGAAAUCCCCGGGCUCAACCUGGGAACUGCAUUCGAAACUGGCAGGCUAGAGUCUUGUAGAGGGGGGUAGAAUUCCAGGUGUAGCGGUGAAAUGCGUAGAGAUCUGAAGGAAUACCGGUGGCGAAGGCGGCCCCCUGGACAAAGACUGACGCUCAGGUGCGAAAGCGUGGGGAGCAAACAGGAUUAGAUACCCUUGUAGUC